AACGAACGCUGGCGGCAGGCCUAACACAUGCAAGUCGAGCGCGCCUUCGGGUGAGCGGCGGACGGGUGAGUAACGCGUGGGGAUAUGCCCUUCUCUACGGAAUAGUCCUGGGAAACUGGGGGUAAUACCGUAUACGCCCUUUGGGGGAAAGAUUUAUCGGGGAAGGAUUAGCCCGCGUUGGAUUAGGUAGUUGGUGGGGUAAUGGCCUACCAAGCCGACGAUCCAUAGCUGGUUUGAGAGGAUGAUCAGCCACACUGGGACUGAGACACGGCCCAGACUCCUACGGGAGGCAGCAGUGGGGAAUCUUAGACAAUGGGGGCAACCCUGAUCUAGCCAUGCCGCGUGAGUGAUGAAGGCCUUAGGGUUGUAAAGCUCUUUCAGCUGGGAAGAUAAUGACGGUACCAGCAGAAGAAGCCCCGGCUAACUCCGUG
rnacentral:rRNA from 1 species